CGGCUCACCUCAACCUCCGCCUCCCGGGUUCAAGCGAUUCUCCUGCGUCAGCCUCCCGAGUAGCUGGGACUCCAGGCUAUGAGUCACCACCACGCCCGGAUAAUGUUUGUGUUUUUAGUAGACACCGGGUUUCGCCGUCUCUCCCAGACGCGAGGCUGGUCUUGAACUCCCGACCUCAAGCAAUCCACCCGCCUCGGCUUCCCAAAGUGCUGGGAUUCCAAAGGGUGUGUGAGCCCCCCGCGCCUGGCCUUGUGUGUUCCGGUAACCGUAACGUCUCCGGGCGAGGAUCUCUGACAACGGGUCCGCCCGGACAGCACGUGGCCUGAUCUGAAGCCGGGCUGGAGACACGGUCUGGACCCCACGCUCCCGCCCGAGGCCGCCUCCAGCCGGAUCCUGCCCCUGGGAGCUGUGCAAACAUCAUAAAUCCUGCUAAUUGCCACGUUCCCCGCAGCCAGAAUCCGUGGUCUGUCUACAGUGGCCUCACAGUCUCCAGCCAAGAGUUUCAAUCUUUGCUUCUGGACAAAUAUUACCGAGAAACGUCCGCACAGCCCGGGCGCCCGGCUCCCACAUCACAGGGUCUGCGUCUCAGAAACCCACUUGUGUGUGCCGGGAGCCGACGUCAGGCCAGAUCGGCAGACGCCCGGACGCGCUAAUCCCCCCACCACCGCCUUCCAGGCCACCUGGCCACACAGGACGCUCCGGGCUUCCCGUAAGAACGGCCGUGCCUGUGACCUGCGGGUGGGGUCGCCUCCCCGGCGUGCUUGCCAGGUGCCCCCACAGAACGGGGUCCGUGCAGCGCUGGGACCGGUCGCCGUAGCAUAUCCUCCUGACAGAGACGGAAAGAAAGCGGCUGUUCGAUUUUAAAAAUUUAAAAAAAAAAAAGGGAGCUCCC